rnacentral:rRNA from 1 species
UACGUAGGGCGCAAGCGUUAUCCGGAAUUAUUGGGCGUAAAGAGCUCGUAGGCGGUUUGUCGCGUCUGUCGUGAAAGUCCGGGGCUCAACUCCGGAUCUGCGGUGGGUACGGGCAGACUAGAGUGAUGUAGGGGAGACUGGAAUUCCUGGUGUAGCGGUGGAAUGCGCAGAUAUCAGGAGGAACACCGGUGGCGAAGGCGGGUCUCUGGGCCGAUACUGACGCUGAGGAGCGAAAGCAUGGGUAGCGAACAGG